ensembl:lncRNA
CUAGGGUAAGGGCAGCUAGGACAGCAAUGGCUGGGUGAACAUUUCAUUGCAGAUACAGAUGGCAACCUCAGCCUGCAGAGAGUCCUCAUAGUGAGGCCAGCAUCCCAGGCACCUUGUGCCACUAGAGGUCUGUGCCUGGCUCCCUGUUAUCAAGCCAAGGCUUACUGUACCCACAAGAUUUUCCUAAAUGGAUUGCAGGCUGUCUGUAAUUCUUUGUAUUUGGACAACUAGGCUGGAGGUUGGCUGAGGAGAUGGGAAAACAGUGAGUGUGGGGCAUGCAUGGGCCCUUCCACCAGUACUGUAGUUCAGAGAGCUCCCAGUAAGUGGUUAGGACAAUUUUUAUCACAACCCUACUGAGACUGUUUUAAUUUCUUGCUGAGAGAGUGACCCAUCUGCUCUUUGGUACGCCCUUUGCAGAAGCAGGCAAGCCUGCUGGCAGCACUGGGAAAUACAAUAGAAAGCAGGUGGACAAAUGUCUUUGGCUGUUGGAGUGAGUCUAAUGUGAGAAGAGCCCAGUAAUUUUCUAGAUUUAAACCUUUUCAAACUGCUGAGGAAACAGGCAUCAUUCUUGAUUUCAAGAGAACAAAUGUCUGGAGGGCUUGUCAAAGGAUCAUGAGAGCAACAUGGCUUUUCUGGCUCUGGGUGCUAUAUUUUUUCAGGGCUAUUUAGGAACAGGGUGUGGCUGGACAAAUGCUGGAGCAACGGAAGCAGUCCAGCUGAGUAACGUGUUCUGUCACCCUAUGAAACCUGAUGUCUCUCUCAAUGAGUAGGAGCAACCUUAAACGUCUCCAGAGCACCGGUGGAGAGGACUUCCAUAGAUGGGUGCAUCAGCCUGCAUCAUGAGUCACCAAUGUUUUCCAUGUGUCGCAAUGUUCCUGUGAACCUACACUGGACAGCUUGGCUUGUUCUACCGUGCUGCAAAAUUGGGAAACGGAAGCUGUCCGUAUCUCCUGUUACAUGACUGUGUUCAGAUCGCCUGGCUCUAUUGACUCUAGCGAAUCUACCUGGUGUCCUACAAGGCCUAGGUGCGCCCACGCACACCCAGAUCAGCAAAACAUCAGCUGGUCUCUGAAGCAAUUGUUGGUGAUGACAUGUUUUGUGACAGGAAAUCAUUGCAAAACGCUCGGUUCUCAGGACUGAAAGUGUCUGUCCUGCUCAGAAAAAUAAACGCAACCGGUACAU